CUAAAAGCCUGCCGAGAGGGUCCAAAGCAAUGCAUCACAGCCUCCCAGCAGGUCAUUAAGGCAUUAGCCAAUUAGAAAGCAGGGCUACUGAGUGACAUUGUUCACAGCAGAGCAAACAUAAUUGAUUUUUAUUUCAACAGGAGAGAGAACCUCCUUACUAAAGAGCUUUAGCAUAAUUUCUUCUUUAGGAGAGGUUUAAAGAGAUUUGUGUUGGAGUAUUUAAUUCCAAACCCUGGGACAAUCUCUGGCAAUGUGUAUAAAUUAAGGGACAGUUGACUUCACUCAUUGAUAUUCAAAAUAGAGACUCUCUGUUGCUCAAAAGUAGCAUGAAGUUUUCUGAGUGAUGGCAUCCAACACCAGCUGUGUGGAGGCACAGAUCUUGUACUCUCACAACCUUUAAAUAGUUUAUGUAGUUAUUAGCAAGCUGGAUUCCAGUUUAAGGGCUACUUUCCUAUGCAUUUUAACAUAGUAUACUCUGUAUAAACAAGUACUCCUUAAAAGCACCAUGCAGAUGGUAUUUCUCUCCAGAGACUUCAUCACAAUUAAUCUCCCUCUUUCUGAUUUCAUUGUCUAUCAAUUGGUUAUUUUCAGUCUUACUGCAUAUUAGCACCACUUGGUGGGAAUACUUGUCAGUGACAGCAAGCCUGCAGCAAUAAACUCCAAGAAUGAAUAAUAGUUUCAGUCGUCCCAAUUUUCAGUAUCUUAAGAGCAUCUGCCACCAAGUCAUUAGACUAUACUUUUUAAAGAAGCCUCAUUUCCCUUUACAUAAGAUGUGAACACUUUUUUCAUUGCAGCCUGAAAAAGGUUAAAGGACUAUGAAGAGAUAUGUAAUAAAUACUAGUGUCUUUUCAAGCACAACACCCAAAUUAAACAGGUGAGUGUGCCUGGAUUUGGAACGUGGAGUGAAAGGGCCAGAUGUCGGCAACUCCCAGCAUAGACCAAGAAUUAUUCGGCAAAUACUUUCAAACAAUGAAUACAUUCAUGAAAAUUCCUACUGGCUCCCAGACAAUGUGAUCAGAAAAGAGGUACAAUUCUGAUGAAUUAUUCAUUAUGAUUUAUUUUAUCAUCUCUAAUUAUCACACAUG